rnacentral:rRNA from 1 species
UAUCUCUGUAGAGUCUGCAUAUCAAUAAGCGGAGGAAAAGAAACUAACAAGGAUUCCCUUAGUAACGGCGAGUGAAGCGGGAAGAGCUCAAAUUUGAAAUCUUCAAGGUUCUACCUUGACGAAUUGUAGUUUAAAGAAGUGUUUUCUGUUAGAUGAGUAGCAAAAGUUCCUUGGAAUGGGACAUCAUAGAGGGUGAGAAUCCCGUAUUUGGUUAUUCAUUCUAGCUUUGUGAUACACUUUCAAAGAGUCGGAUUGUUUGGGAAUGCAGUCCAAAAUGGGUGGUAAAUUUCAUCUAAAGCUAAAUAUUGGCGAGAGACCGAUAGCGAACAAGUACCGUGAGGGAAAGAUGAAAAGAACUUUGAAAAGAGAGUUAAACAGUACGUGAAAUUGUCAAAAGGGAAGCGUUUGACACCAGUGUUGUUUUUCCGAAAAUCAAUUACGAAUGGCUUGAUUUUGUGUUGUAUUGACCUUAUCAGCUUUCUUCACUUUUUUCGAGUCUUUCUUAAUGCACUUUUCGGUUAACAAGUCAACAUCAAUUUCUUUUGCUGUAAAAGAGUAUUCGGAAGGUGGCUUUCUUUUCGGAGAAAGUGUUUAUAGCCCUAUACUUCUACAAUCGGAGAGAUUGAGGUCUGCAGCGUAGAUCCUUCGGGGUUAGAUACACUUGUGCUAAGUUGUAGCUUUUCAUAGACAACUUAUUGACUAUGUUUAGUCAUGCGGCUUACUCGCUUGUGCUAUUUUACCUACGCUUAGGAUGUUGACUGAUAUGUAGUCGUA